UACGUAGGGUGCGAGCGUUGUCCGGAAUUAUUGGGCGUAAAGAGCGUGUAGGCGGCUCGGUUAGUCCGCUGUGAAAGUCCAGGGCUCAACCCUGGAAUGCCGGUGGAUACUGUCGAGCUAGAGUCCGGAAGGGGCGAGUGGAAUUCCUGGUGUAGCGGUGAAAUGCGCAGAUAUCAGGAGGAACACCAAUGGCGAAGGCAGCUCGCUGGGACGUGACUGACGCUGAGACGCGAAAGCGUGGGGAGCAAACAGG
rnacentral:rRNA from 1 species